UACGUAGGGUCCGAGCGUUGUCCGGAAUUACUGGGCGUAAAGAGCUCGUAGGUGGUUUGUCGCGUUGUUCGUGAAAACUCACAGCUCAACUGUGGGCGUGCGGGCGAUACGGGCAGACUAGAGUACUGCAGGGGGAGACUGGAAUUCCUGGUGUAGCGGUGGAAUGCGCAGAUAUCAGGAGGAACACCGGUGGCGAAGGCGGGUCUCUGGGCAGUAACUGACGCUGAGGAGCGGAAAAGCAUGGGGGGAGCGAACAGGA
rnacentral:rRNA from 1 species